rnacentral:rRNA from 1 species
CGCUUAACACAUGCAAGUCGCACGAGAAAGCAGUAGCAAUACUGUGAGUACAGUGGCGUACGGGUGAGUAACACGUGGAUUAUCUACCUUCUAGUGGGGAAUACCUCCGGGAAACUGGAGACAAUACCGCAUAAGCUCGUAAGAGGAAAGCAGCAAUGCGCUGGAAGAGGAGUCCGCGGCUGAUUAGCUAGUUGGCGGGGUAACGGCCCACCAAGGCGAAGAUCGGUAGCCGGCCUGAGAGGGCACACGGCCACACUGGCACUGAAACACGGGCCAGACUCCUACGGGAGGCAGCAGUGGGGAAUCUUGCACAAUGGAGGAAACUCUGAUGCAGCGACGCCGCGUGAGC